GGCGAACUGGUGAGUAACACGUGGGAAACCUGCCCAGAAGCGGGGGAUAACACCUGGAAACAGAUGCUAAUACCGCAUAACAACUUGGACCGCAUGGUCCGAGUUUGAAAGAUGGCUUCGGCUAUCACUUUUGGAUGGUCCCGCGGCGUAUUAGCUAGAUGGUGAGGUAACGGCUCACCAUGGCAAUGAUACGUAGCCGACCUGAGAGGGUAAUCGGCCACAUUGGGACUGAGACACGGCCCAAACUCCUACGGGAGGCAGCAGUAGGGAAUCUUCCACAAUGGACGAAAGUCUGAUGGAGCAACGCCGCGUGAGUGAAGAAGGGUUUCGGCUCGUAAAACUCUGUUGUUAAAGAAGAACAUAUCUGAGAGUAACUGUUCAGGUAUUGACGGUAUUUAACCAGAAAGCCACGGCUAACUACGUGCCAGCAGCCGCGGUAAUACGUAGGUGGCAAGCGUUGUCCGGAUUUAUUGGGCGUAAAGCGAGCGCAGGCGGUUUUUUAAGUCUGAUGUGAAAGCCUUCGGCUCAACCGAAGAAGUGCAUCGGAAACUGGGAAACUUGAGUGCAGAAGAGGACAGUGGAACUCCAUGUGUAGCGGUGAAAUGCGUAGAUAUAUGGAAGAACACCAGUGGCGAAGGCGGCUGUCUGGUCUGUAACUGACGCUGAGGCUCGAAAGUAUGGGUAGCAAACAGGAUUAGAUACCCUGGUAGUCCAUACCGUAAACGAUGAAUGCUAAGUGUUGGAGGGUUUCCGCCCUUCAGUGCUGCAGCUAACGCAUUAAGCAUUCCGCCUGGGGAGUACGGCCGCAAGGCUGAAACUCAAAGGAAUUGACGGGGGCCCGCACAAGCGGUGGAGCAUGUGGUUUAAUUCGAAGCUACGCGAAGAACCUUACCAGGUCUUGACAUACUAUGCAAAUCUAAGAGAUUAGACGUUCCCUUCGGGGACAUGGAUACAGGUGGUGCAUGGUUGUCGUCAGCUCGUGUCGUGAGAUGUUGGGUUAAGUCCCGCAACGAGCGCAACCCUUAUUAUCAGUUGCCAGCAUUAAGUUGGGCACUCUGGUGAGACUGCCGGUGACAAACCGGAGGAAGGUGGGGAUGACGUCAAAUCAUCAUGCCCCUUAUGACCUGGGCUACACACGUGCUACAAUGGAUGGUACAACGAGUUGCGAACUCGCGAGAGUAAGCUAAUCUCUUAAAGCCAUUCUCAGUUCGGAUUGUAGGCUGCAACUCGCCUACAUGAAGUCGGAA
rnacentral:rRNA from 2 species